CUUCCAAAACACUUGUCGAUGGUUCCACUUCUCAAAGAUAUACUCCUCAUGUAGCUCCACUUCUAACGUCAGCAAACAAUCGAUACAAGCAUCACAAGAGAACCUAAAAACAAUACACCAAGCAUUACAAAAUAAGACUUAAAGGUUUUAAACAUGUAGGGCUUGUAACUACGAUCGUUGAGCGCAAAAACAACUAAACGGAGCAAUGGUUUAGAAGACAUGAAAGUUCAAAGGUAGAAGUUGGAAGGUUCAAUAAAUGAUAGGAAUGGAAUAAACAUGAUGUAUGUGGGCUAACUUGAAAGAUUUAGAGAGCAUAAGGAUUUAUAGAUGAAUAGUAAAUGAUCAGAGGAUUGUAUACAAGAUAGACUAGAGAUUAUGAAGAAUGAAGUAAGCAUAUGAAGAUUUAAGGGCUUGAUCACUUGUGCUGGCUAUGCAAGCUGGAUGAGAGAAAACAUAUACAUGGCAAUGGCUACACAGUAGUGAGAUGAUAUGGUGAGAUACUAUCAAGAUUAUUUAUAUGUGGUUCUAGAACACAAUGAGGCAGGACAACUAUGAUGGUUGGAAUGGCUAGAACUUUGCGAGUGCAAUGCGACCAUAGAUUUAAGAUGGAAGCAAGGCUGCACAUAAGGUUUGUGUAUCCUGAUUACUUUAUAUAUAUAUGAUGGAGUGCUGCUGCAUAUGAGAGGUCAUAUGGGAUCAUAUUAUGGUCACUAGUGCACCAAAGCAAGUAGCUAAAUCCACUGGGGAUAUGAUUACAAUGAGCUGCACACCGACUGAGCAUGAAUGUGCGAUGGGAAGUAGUGGUUCUUGCCAACAAAACGCAGGCCUAUGCUAAGCUUCUGGGAUAGAUAUUUGGUGGAUUUGUGUGCAGCAACCAUAGACAUAGUCAUGCAAGAGAGAUCAGUGAUUUGAACAAUGGUUUGGUGGGGAACGUGGUGAGACACCGGUGCACCUAGGAUGUGCAUGGCAGCGGACAACAGGGGUUAUGAUCCUUGAUGACAUGCUCUGGUCAGCACAAAUGAGCAAUCCAUAUUUUGGAGUCAUCGUGGACUGUAUGAGGUAUGUUCUUGUAAAAGGGAAUGGUGGUUUGACCAUCUGUUAAGCGGAGAACACAAACUCAAAAUGGGUGGCAUGACUGAUUUCUAGACAGCAGGAGUAGCAGGUACUAUGGCCUCAACAUCUCAGCCAUUGAGACACCUAUGGCCAAGCCAACCUGUAGAGAUGUGUACAACGAUAAGACACACAUUCUUCAUGAAGGGUUUGAUGAUUUAACUAAUGUAUGAUGGGGAACAACACUAUCAAACAGAGGCACAAUGCUGCUGAAACAGCAGGGACAGCAAACACCGAAAAGAUGAUGAUAUCUCUUUCAUCUUGAAUUCUAUUGCCAUGGAAUUUCUCAGGGGUGUGUGCAAAGGUAGAAAACACACUGUGGUUGAAGGACAUGGUCACUGGAGUGAUGGAUCAUUGGGAAUACACAUGCCAACCGGCAGAAACUCUGCUGCGGGACAGCAGCGACAUCAUGCACAAGAACAUUUAUAACUCUUUCAUAUUAAGCUCUAUGGCCAUGAAAAUUUACAGAGACAUGGGCAAAUAUAUGAUACACACAUGGAUUAAAGGAAUUGCAAAACAGAGGUGCAGAUUGCCGGGAACAUGCGUGAUAACCAGCAGCAACACUGCUGUCCAUGAUAGACGACAAUACGUUCUUAGCCAAAACUGCACUACAAAUCUAUCCACUUGAAUCAAGAUGACAAAACUUUGAUAUAGUCGAACAUAUAAGAUAGAGGAGAAUGUUUGGUUCUCACAUUGGGGUUAGGAACAGUUGGAGAUGAACGUGAUGGCAGCGGUCAGUGUCGAUGACAGGUGAAGACAAUGUUGGUGAUCAAUGGAGCAGUGGCAUAUUCGCUUUGGGGGAUCAUCCAUGCCUCACAAUAGAUCAAAGAGAUGCAUGAGUGGGGAAUAUGAAACGAGAUCACAGAGGGGAGAGGGAAGGACGACCUCACCAUGGUCUGCACAAGAGCAGCAGCGAUGAUGGUCGAUGAGUUUCUGCUGCAGGUUCUGGGAGAUGGGAAAAGACAUUGGGGUGACCUCCAUGAAGCGCUGCAGCACCAUGGCGUCCUCAAGCAAUAUGUGAAGAAUUCCAUGACUCCGAUGAUGGGAAGAAACGUGCAGCAGCAAAACAAAAAUGUUGCUGAGAGGGCAGUGCAUUUUGAUGGAGAGGUUGGAGAGGGAUUUGGAGGGGAGAGGAGUUGCC
rnacentral:lncRNA from 1 species